CCCAGACUCCUACGGGAGGCAGCAGUGGGGAAUAUUGGGCAAUGGGCGCAAGCCUGACCCAGCAACGCCGCGUGAAGGAAGAAGGCUUUCGGGUUGUAAACUUCUUUUGUCAGGGACGAAGCAAGUGACGGUACCUGACGAAUAAGCCACGGCUAACUACGUGCCAGCAGCCGCGGUAAUACGUAGGUGGCAAGCGUUAUCCGGAUUUAUUGGGUGUAAAGGGCGUGUAGGCGGGAAUGCAAGUCAGAUGUGAAAACUAUGGGCUCAACCCAUAGCCUGCAUUUGAAACUGUAUUUCUUGAGUGCUGGAGAGGCAAUCGGAAUUCCGUGUGUAGCGGUGAAAUGCGUAGAUAUAAGGAAGAACACCAGUGGCGAAGGCGGAUGACUGGACGGCAACUGACGGUGAGGCGCGAAAGCGUGGGGAGCAAACAGGAUUAGAUACCCCGGUACGC
rnacentral:rRNA from 1 species